rnacentral:rRNA from 1 species
CGCUGGCGGCGUGCCUAAUACAUGCAAGUCGAGCGGAUCAUUUCAGAAGCUUGCUUCUGAAAUGGUUAGCGGCGGACGGGUGAGUAACACGUAGGCAACCUGCCUGCAAGAUCGGGAUAACAUUCGGAAACGAAUGCUAAUACCGGAUACACAAUUUGGCCGCAUGGUUGAAUUGGGAAAGGCGGAGCAAUCUGCCGCUUGUAGAUGGGCCUGCGGCGCAUUAGCUAGUUGGUGAGGUAACGGCUCACCAAGGCGACGAUGCGUAGCCGACCUGAGAGGGUGAUCGGCCACACUGGGACUGAGACACGGCCCAGACUCCUACGGGAGGCAGCAGUAGGGAAUCUUCCGCAAUGGACGAAAGUCUGACGGAGCAACGCCGCGUGAGUGAUGAAGGUUUUCGGAUCGUAAAGCUCUGUUGCCAGGGAAGAACAGCGAGGAGAGUAACUGCUCUUCGCGUGACGGUACCUGAGAAGAAAGCCCCGGCUAACUACGUGCCAGCAGCCGCGGUAAUACGUAGGGGGCAAGCGUUGUCCGGAAUUAUUGGGCGUAAAGCGCGCGCAGGCGGGCUUGUAAGUUUAGUGGUUAAAGCUCGGAGCUUAACUCCGAUUCGCACUUGAAAACUUGCAAAGCUUUGAGUUCC